rnacentral:rRNA from 1 species
CAGUAGCCACGGGAAUACGGAGGGCGCGAGCGUUACCCGGAUUUACUGGGCGUAAAGGGCGUGUAGGCGGCCUGGGGCGUCCCAUGUGAAAGGCCACGGCUCAACCGUGGAGGAGCGUGGGAUACGCUCAGGCUAGAGGGUGGGAGAGGGUGGUGGAAUUCCCGGAGUAGCGGUGAAAUGCGCAGAUACCGGGAGGAACGCCGAUGGCGAAGGCAGCCACCUGGUCCACUUCUGACGCUGAGGCGCGAAAGAGUGGGGAGCAAACCGGAUUAGAUACCCCCGUAGUCCCUGUCUCUUAUAA